UACGGAGGGGGUUAGCGUUGUUCGGAAUUACUGGGCGUAAAGCGCACGUAGGCGGAUUGGAAAGGUUGGGGGUGAAAUCCCCGGGGCUCAACCCCCGGAACUGCCUCCAAAACUUCCAGUCUGGAGUUCGAGAGAGGGUGAGUGGAAUUCCGAGUGUAGAGGUGAAAUUCGUAGGAUAUUCGGAGGAACACCAGUGGCGAAGGCGGCUCACUGGCUCGAUACUGACGCUGAGGUGCGAAAGUGUGGGGAGCAAACAGGAUUAGAUACCCCGGUAGU
rnacentral:rRNA from 1 species